GUUGUCUCCCCGUCAACACUUUGUCAAAACAGCCGUUUCCUCUCGUCGAGCAGCUCUCUUCUCAACUUCAUCAAAAACCAUCACUCUCUCAUCAAAAUACCAUGGGUCUCUCAUGAAAACACCAUCUGUCAUGAGAUUAGGUCUAUCUCUCAGAAGCCAUGCCAACCUAUUCCCUCUCUCAUCUCCCCUCACCUGCAAACCAAAAAGGAAGAAGCUCGGAGUUUUGAUUCUAAGCAAAAUCACCACGAAGCCGACUUGAAGCCACUGAGCAGAUCUCUCUCUCUUUCUCUUUUCUCUUCGUCACUCUCUAUUAAUGGUGCUCCGGCCAUGAACCUGUCUGUAGUGAGCAAUUUGAUGGCGGAUCUCUCAUCAAAACACCAUCUGUCAUCAAAAUAUAUCUCGAUUAGGGCUCGACUGUACUCAUCCAUAACUGCAAUCAUCGAUUAAGAUUAUACCCAUCUGUACAAUCGCUUAAGAUUUCGAUCUAUUCAUGGGUUCUUCGUACUGGGGAAAAGAUAGAAGAAAAAUGGGUUUCAAUCUAGACAUCGAAAUACCGAAGUUGAAACUAGGGUUCCAUUUGUGGGUUCUUCGAUUUGGGGAUUUGGGGGUUUCUCGGCGAUUCUUGCUAGUUUGCCUUAUUUGCAGAGAAUCUGCAGCAGACCAUCUUCUCCAACCAUUCCAAGGCCUCUGCAUCACUACUUUCAACAAUUGGUAAUUGCAAUUCAAAUCCUCUUAGUAUUGUCGUUGCUGUUCUCCCCCGCAGUUCCCGCCAAGUCCCGUCGCUCAAUCUCUGUAUGUAUUCCAAAUGCCUCCAUCUCUUUUCGGAAAGAAAUUGCAGGAAAUAGGGUUAGGCUAGCAACUCAUGCAAAUUUCAAAGAUUUUGUCCUUACUGUUGGGUUGGAGUUCUUUCCUUUAGGUGGAGAUCCAAAGUUCUUGCCGAAUGACAAGGUAUUUACCACCAGCAUAUGGUUAGAUUUCGUCAUCUUAUUUAUUUAUUUAAUUACUUCUUGUGUUUUCAAGAAAACUAAGAGCUAAUGGUAUUUGUGGUUACUAUAACCACUGAAAUAAUUGACCUUUUCUUCACAUAUUGAUAUUUUGCAAGUCAAUUUGACAUAUUGGCUCCGUGGAAAUGAACUAAAACUUUCUUUUGUGUGAGAUCUGAGUAAUAUACAGUGGAUCAAGAGAAAAAAAUGGUAACAAACUGGAAUUUAAAUCAAAAUUUGUACAUAUAUCUAUGAACUAAACUCUGCCAGAAAUUAUAGUGCUUUUAUUCUCUUCAAAUUACAACCUUUCCUUUGGAACCAAACUCCCUUCUUGGCUAAUUAGCUCAAUGUCUUGAACUUCUUUAAAAGGCUUCAUGCUUAUGUUCUAUUGGAAAAUAAUAAUAACCAAAAGAUCUUUUAUUUUAUUUUUAUGUGGUUUGAAAUUAUUUUGUGGUCUCUUAAUCUUUGCAAAUCGUGGUCUGGGGCACUCUCAUGUUGCUGAGGCACUAAAAAUACCGAUUCAUAUAUUUUUCACAAUGCCAUGGACGUAAGUAUUUCUAAUUAACUAUUAUCUUGUUAUUGCUUUAGACUUUCUGUGUCCAUUGUUUGUUUUGGUGCUAUGUGUUUCUUAAAGACACAUAAUGGAUACCAGUAUAGGGAAUGUUCAUCACAUAUAUAUAGCUUUUCUAAAGUUUGGUAAAUUUUAUUAAUUUUCUUCUUUAUCCCUUCUCAUUUCCAAUGGGGACGUUUUCGGAUUAAAUACUCAAAUAAGUGCCUCAUCCUAACAAAGGAUAAUUUUCCUCAUUCUUUCAUGACUCUAUGUUCGUAUGUAGCUUCCUAUCUUCAUAUCAGAUUUGUAUAUUUUAUUUCUUGAUAAUAUGCUUACUUUUUCUUAGGCCUACCAGUGAAUUCCCUCAUCCUCUAUCCCGUGUCAAGCAACAUAUUGGAUAUAGACUAUCAUAUCAAAUAGUUGAUGCAUUAAUUUGGCUAGGAAUUUGAGACAUGAUAAAUGAGUUUAGGAAGAAAAUGCUGAAGCUGAGACAUACCACAUAUUUAAGUGGAUACUAUAGUACUCCUGGUGACGUUCCCUAUGGGUAUAUAUGGAGUCCUCAUCUUGUUCCCAAACCUAAAGGUACUGAGGGACUAACAAUUGCUAAUAUCUAUUGAGUUGUCAAUCGUCUGUUCCUCAUCAUUCCAUGAGUUAAAGAUCAGCCCGACUGUUCAUAUGUUCUGUUUUCCUGUUGGUAACCUAAUUUGGCCAUUAUGAGUAGACUCCAUAAUCAGUGUCUACUAGGUCUCUCCUCUAGCUAGCUUCUGAAUUGGGAGAGGAGAGGCUGCAGCCAAUACACCCAAGCAGAUAUUGAUCAAGUGCGAAAUGAGUGGGGGAAGUUUGUUGUCAACACACAUGUGUACGAGUCAUGAAGUAGCGCAUUUGCUGCUGGUACAUUUUAGAUAAGGAAAGCAUCUUUUUUGUGCUUCUUUGCUUGUACAUUGUCAUGCACCAUGUGAGGCAUGUUUUGGAACAAUAUAUGUGUGGAUCGGCUUUUUGUUGUCCCAAGUAGAUGGGCAUGCACUAGAAUGCUCUUCUUGUGUAAAAUGUUGGUUUCAAUGAUUGGGAAAUGCACCCUUUUCGCUUUUA